GCCGAUUAAGUGUUUUACUCUGCACAUUGACUUUUCACGUCAAAAGAGCACGCUAGUGCACUUGGCU
rnacentral:tRNA from 1 species